rnacentral:rRNA from 1 species
GAUGAACGCUGGCGGCGUGCUUAACACAUGCAAGUCGAACGGUGAAAGCGGGAGCUUGCUCCUGCUGGAUCAGUGGCGAACGGGUGAGUAACACGUGAGCAAUCUGCCCCGAACUCUGGGAUAAGCGCUGGAAACGGCGUCUAAUACCGGAUACGACGCUCGACGGCAUCGUCUGCGCGUGGAAACAACCUCGGGUCGGGAUGAGCUCGCGGCCUAUCGGCUUGUUGGUGAGGUAACGGCUCACCAAGGCGACGACGGGUAGCCGGCCUUAGAGGGUGACCGGCCACACUGGGACUGAGACACGGCCCAGUCUCCUACGGGAGGCAGCAGUGGGGAAUAUUGCACAAUGGGCGCAAGCCUGAUGCAGCAACGCCGCGUGAGGGACGACGGCCUUCGGGUUGUAAACCUCUUUUAGCAGGGAAGAAGCGAAAGUGACGGUACCUGCAGAAAAAGCACCGGCUAACUACGUGCCAGCCGCCGCAGUAACAC